rnacentral:rRNA from 1 species
AUUGAACGCUGGCGGCAUGCUUUACACAUGCAAGUCGAACGGUAGGGUAGCAAUACCUGAGAGUGGCGAACGGGUGAGUAAUGCAUCGGAACAUGCCCAUUAGUGGGGGAUAGCCCGGCGAAAGCCGGAUUAAUACCGCAUACGAUCUAUGGAUGAAAGCCGGGGACCGCAAGGCCUGGCGCUAAUGGAGUGGCCGAUGUCAGAUUAGCUAGUUGGUGGGGUAAAGGCUCACCAAGGCAACGAUCUGUAGCUGGUUUGAGAGAACGACCAGCCACACUGGGACGGACGCGCGGCCCAGACUCCGACGGGAGGCAGCAGUGGGGGAGUGUGGACGAUGGGCGCAAGCCUGAUCCAGCAAUGCCGCGUGCAGGAUGAAGGCCUUCGGGUUGUAAAGCACUUUCAGUGGGGAGAAAGGCCUUUUACUUAAUACGUAAGAGGAUUGAUGUUACCCACAGAAGAAGCACCGGCUAACUCCGUGCCAGCCGCCGCAGUAA